UUGGCGAACGGGUGAGUAACACGUGAGCAACCUGCCCUAUACAACGGGAUAACACAGAGAAAUUUGUGCUAAUACGGUAUAAGACCACAGUAUCGCAUGAUACAGGGGUAAAAGAUUUAUCGGUAUAGGAUGGGCUCGCGACCCAUUAGCUAGUUGGUGAGGUAACGGCCCACCAAGGCAACGAUGGGUAGCCGACCUGAGAGGGUGAUCGGCCACACUGGGACUGAGACACGGCCCAGACUCCUACGGGAGGCAGCAG
rnacentral:rRNA from 1 species